rnacentral:tRNA from 1 species
GGGGGUAUGGCCUAAUGGAUUAAGGCAUCAGACUUCGGAUCUGGGGAUUGUGGGUUCGAGUCCCAUUACCCUCG